AAUACAUGCAAGUCGAACGAAUCUCUUUUAGAGAUGAGUGGCGAACGGGUGAGUAAUACAUAGGUAACCUGCCCCUGUGCGGGGGAUAACAGGAGGAAACUCCUGCUAAUACCGCAUAGCCAUGAGCACCGCAUGGAGCUCAUGCCAAAUAUCCUUUAUGGGAUAGCGCAGGGAUGGACCUAUGGCGCAUUAGCUGGUUGGCGGGGCAACGGCCCACCAAGGCAACGAUGCGUAGCCGGCCUGAGAGGGCGGACGGCCACAUUGGGACUGAGACACGGCCCAGACUCCUACGGGAGGCAGCAGUAGGGAAUUUUCGGCAAUGGGGGAAACCCUGACCGAGCAACGCCGCGUGAGCGAAGAAGGCCUUCGGGUCGUAAAGCUCUGUUGUAAAGGAAGAACGGCGCAUACAGGAAAUGGUAUGCGAGUGACGGUACUUUACCAGAAAGCCACGGCUAACUACGUGCCAGCAGCCGCGGUAAUACGUAGGUGGCGAGCGUUAUCCGGAAUCAUUGGGCGUAAAGAGGGAGCAGGCGGCCGCAAGGGUCUGUGGUGAAAGACCGAAGCUAAACUUCGGUAAGCCAUGGAAACCGGGCGGCUAGAGUGCGGAAGAGGAUCGUGGAAUUCCAUGUGUAGCGGUGAAAUGCGUAGAUAUAUGGAGGAACACCAGUGGCGAAGGCGACGGUCUGGGCCGCAACUGACGCUCAUUCCCGAAAGCGUGGGGAGCAAAUAGGAUUAGAUACCCUAGUAGUCCACGCCGUAAACGAUGGUCACUAAGUGUCGGGGGUCAAACCCCGGUGCUGCAGUCAACGCAAUAAGUGACCCGCCUGAGUAGUACGUUCGCAAGAAU
rnacentral:rRNA from 1 species